UGGUGGGCUGAAAUUCAGCGGCCCGUGGCCCGGGUUGGGCCGGUCCGGCCCGAGUUGGGUCGGUCCGGCCCGGCCCGCGGGCUUUUAAAUUUUUUUUUUUAAAAAAAAAAAUCUGUAAACAAGUGAGAGGAUACAGAAAGUAAAUCAAAAUUAAAUGCUGCAAGGUAAAGCCCCUCUCAUACAUAUAGUAAAUUGCAGUCCUAAGAUGCACAUUACUCUGUGCAUUCUUAUCUAUACUGUCGCGUCUUAUCUUCACCGACCCAUUCCCCAGCCGAGUUUCUUGGUGAUUCCCUGAUGCCAAGGUGGUCAUCGUAAUGACCCAGCAACAUCUCUUCAACAGCCUUAUUCUCUCUUCUCCUCCUGACACAUACUAACAAGUUAGCUUACUAACUUUUAGCUUCCAUCUCAUUUGCAAUAUAAUAACCUUGUAAACAUGUAUUUCUUCAUUUCCAUAGCCAACUGAAAUUAUUAACUAUAUGCAUACUAACUGAUUUUGAAAAUAACCAAAUCACAGUUUACACCUUAUACCAAUUGUUUUUGCAAAAUCUAAUAUACUAACUGUUUUCGAAAACCAAUUACCAAUCUUUGCAUAUUCAAUUCCCAUAACUUGAUAGCAUAACAUAAUCAUUAUCAAAACAAAACCCAUAAUUAAUUCAAUACAUAUUAUACUAACAAAUAAACAAACCCAUCUCUGUUAGCUAUCUUUGAUAAUUUCCAUAUAUCUAACUAUUUUGCAUACAUAUAACCAUAUGACUGAUAUGAGCUAACUUCCAAUUUAAUUACCAUACAUAUUACCAUGUAUUCUAUUUCUAAUUACUGGAUAACAUGAUUAUUAAUAAUCCACACAAUUCCAGAAUUCCUAUCUUUAAAUUCCCAUCCACGAAAUCAAUCCAAUUUAUACACUAACUGAUUGUUUUUGCAAUUUAUGUUUAUGUAAUCAACAUUUGAUAAUCUCUUCUUUCUAUAAGAACAUAUAAUAUCAUAUAAAUCCAAAAAUAUACAGAUAAAUUGCUUGCAGCUAAACACAAAAACAUAUAAUAUCAUAAACCCACAAAUAUAAAUCGGUAAAUUCUAGAUCUAGUCUAAUCCGGUUCAUAAACCCUUAAAAUAUCUUAUUGAAACGAGAGCGGAAAAUACCUGAGACAGUGAGAUGAGGACGUCAAGGAGAAUAGAGUAGGGUUUUAGCCUUUUUAGGGGAGAGGAGGAACUGCCGAAGUGCCGAUCUGUGAAGAAGUGAAGUGAGGUCGAGGAGAAUAGCGUCGAUCGAUCGAAGUGAAGUGAAUUGAGGUGGUGCUGUAUCAGACUCUCUGGUCUCAGACUCUCAAUCCCUUACUCCCUUUAUUAUGCCGGUAUUUAGCCCUCAGCGAGGAGUCAGGAGAUUAGAGAUAGAGAUAGAGAUAGAGAUAGGGUUUUUAUAAAUGAUCGGGCGGGCCGGGCGCCCGCUGACGGGUCAUUAUUGGGUCGGAUUAAAAUUAGACCGGAUUAAAAUGGCCCAACUUUUGAUGAGUCAAAAAAGUAAAAUUCACAAAUUAGUUUUUGGCGGACGAACUGACCCGGCCCGCGGACCUGGGCUGAUUUUGUCGAAUGUAGUUUUGAAUUUGUGUAAUUAAUGAAUAAUUAAUAAAAUGAAUACUAGUACCAUACAAUUGACUAGUUGAGUAUGCCUGCCGACACUUUUCAUUCAUUGGUAGUCAUAAUAAUACUUUAAUUCAAAAUGCGCUGGACCACCUACCACGCACACGCAAUAAAGAAAAAAUCUUAUCUUUACUACUUACCCUUAAUUUGUCUUAUUUAAUAUUGGGCCAGCUUAUUCUUAAUAAUAUAUUCCCACUUGUUUUAAGGGAAAAACUGUGGAAAUGUUAGCCCUAGAUCCCCAAUUGAUAUAAGAGAGAGACUCCGAAGCUUACACAUAAUAAUCAAACACCAUGGUUUCUUCUUCCUCUGUCAAAAGGCUUGGCAACUUGCUAACAAAAGAAGGAAUGUUUUUGUGGGAUGUGAGUGAUCAAGUGCUGAGUUUUCAGACUGAGCUAAAUAGUAAUCACUCCCUCGAAGAUUCAGAUCCAGAACUCUACUUUUGGUAUGAGAGGUAUAGGAAAUGAAAGUUCAGAAUUUUACACUCCAAGUGUUUACAGGUAUGCAUGCUAUGUUUUAUGAAAGAAAUUCUAUGUAGAGAUGUUAAAAUUUUGAAAAUUUUAAACCCAUUUUAAUUUUGGUCACCCUGAUUAAUUAAUCAACAUAGAUGUAGUCAACUAAUCUAAAGGUGUGACUUGCCCAGAGGCCUUUAGCGAAAUAGACAGAUACAUGGCCUAACUCACCUAUACCAACUACACCCACGUCCAACUCCAGUUUAUCAAGCUCACAUCCAACCCAGCUUAUCAAGCCCAAAAUACUUGAGGGCUGUCACUUGUGAUCCCAACACAUACAAGGAACACCGGACUCAAGGGGCAAAUUGUUGGGACAAAUGACAAUGAAAUGUUCAUUGCAAACCAUUCUAUCCCAAUAACCUAUGUAAGGGUAUAUUGGGCAUUAUAAUGGUAUUUCAUAUCUGAAAAUAGAAGUGUAUCCUUAAUUUUGAAACAAACAUAUAUAUCUAAUUUUGGAAGGAGUUACUUAUUUUAUCGCACAAAAAUUGAUUUAAUUUAUCUUAUGAUAACAUGAAGUCGUAUGUCAUAAGACAGGGUUGUGCACAUCCACUUGCUGAGUAUAUCUACGAGCACUACUUAUAUGAUCUUGGAGUUUAUUUGAAAUAUAAUUUUCACUUGGAGACAGCGGAGAUAAUUAUAUGUCAAGAGAAGACUCACCAUUGGAAAGAAUAUGAUAGUAAUCUUCUCGUUUUUCUUUGGGGUCUAUUGGGUCAACCAAGGAUAAUUCUAUGGACAUAUAAUAUCUAUCAUAACCUAGACGCAUGGUCUCCUAUGUACGAAGGUUUUCUUGAGCACUUCCCAAAGAUUUUAAUUUCUAAAACAGUUUUUGACUAUACUUUUAUGUAAAGUAUCAUUGUAAGGUUGUGGCCGAGGCACCAUGAGAGUUACAUACAUUUAUAUUAAAACUCACAGUUAAUUGUGGUCGUAUUCUAUACGACAGUUCAACAGUUGUAUAAAUGAAGUUUGUAUUUGAUUUUUAUAGUGUGAUAUCUGGCGACUCAGAAUGGGUCGUGUGAACCUAUUUUGGGGGCGUCACAAAAUAACUAUUAUAUUAAAUAAUACUAAAUAAAUUUACAACAAUUUUGAAUUUUUUAGAGGGAUAAAAUAAUAAAGUUUUGUCAUUUAGAUGUUUCAGACAUGUCAAUUAUUAAAUAACUUUUUUUCAUUCAGAUUCAAAUUCAACUCAUUUAGAUUUAGAUUCAGCUCAUUCAGAUUCAGAUUUAUUUAAUUUUUAUCAAACAUCCCCUAAGACCAUAAAAUUAGGACAAUAAUUAAUAUUAUUAUGCACGAAAAACGAGGCAAAGUAAAAAAAAUAAAAAUGCCGCUAUAGCUUGUAGUGGCUAAGCCAACAACAAUAGGCUUCAAAUAAUAUUACUUUAUACAGGAAACAAGGCAACACAAAAAAAAUAAAAAUUUACGAUGUAUAUCAGUUUUAAUGAGUAAUUUACGAGAAGUUGUAUUUAAUAAAAAAAAAUACUAACUCAAUUUUUUUUACGAAAUGUUGUAUUUAAUAAAUUUUUUUUACCAAAUGUUGAAUUACAAGAGUUCAAUAAAAUAAUGUAUAUCAUAAAUUUACUCAAAAAAUUUAAUAAGAUGAUAUAUUAUUUAAUGAAUAAGACAAUUGUUACAUUUUUUUUCUUCUUAUAAUGGUUAAGCAAUGAGAUUCGUACCUAUUUUAUUUUUCCUAACAAAAUGAGUUUAAUCAUAAUCUCAAAAUGAGUAGUAAAACUAAUAAAAUAACAUUUUAUUAAGUCUCUUAUUUAAGAGUUAAAGUUAAAAAUAGUGACAAUGUACAAAAACAGAAUUAUGCUUACAAAAUAUCGUUAAUGAAAUAUUCCAUUCGUUUUUAAAAAAAUUGUAAAGAAUAUUAAUUGAAUUUAAGAUAAAUGCAUAUUAUAAAACUUAUUUUAACAUAAUACUAUACAGAACAAAAACUCAUUAGUUAUUACUAUUAUGAAUAUUAAAAGUCAUAUUAAUAUAAAUAAUAGAAGUAGCAUUACAUUUGAGUAUUAUUAAUAAUAUUAUUAUUAUUAAUAUUAAUAUUAAAAUAAAUAUUAAUAAUAUAUUCUUAGUAUUAUUACAAUCAAUAUUCGUAAACAAAUUCAUCAACUUCUCAAUAAUAUUUUCAUUAACAUAUUUACAAAAAACAUAACAUAAAUAAUAUAAUGAAGCCUAUUUUUUUGUCUCAG
rnacentral:lncRNA from 1 species